rnacentral:rRNA from 1 species
GUAGGUGGCAAGCGUUGUCCGGAAUUAUUGGGCGUAAAGCGCGCGCAGGCGGUCCUUUAAGUCUGAUGUGAAAGCCCACGGCUCAACCGUGGAGGGUCAUUGGAAACUGGGGGACUUGAGUACAGAAGAGGAAAGCGGAAUUCCAAGUGUAGCGGUGAAAUGCGUAGAGAUUUGGAGGAACACCAGUGGCGAAGGCGGCUUUCUGGUCUGUAACUGACGCUGAGGCGCGAAAGCGUGGGGAGCAAACAGGAUUAGAUACCCUGGUAGUCCACGCCGUAAACGAUGAGUGCUAAGUGUUAGGGGGUUUCCGCCCCCUUAGUGCUGCAGCUAACGCAUUAAGCACUCCGCCUGGGGAGUACGGCCGCAAGGCUGA